UAAACGGAAGCGGAAACUCAAAUACAUGUGCGAUUUUCGAAGAAUGGACGGCUUAACAGAGGUUGGUUUUCAAAAUUUACUGCUUAUUUGCCAAAUUUAAUUAUAAAAAAAAGAAUGAUUCUGUUAAAAAUAAUAUUUGUACAGUCUUCUUCAUCGUCAAACUUGUUAGAUUCUGUUUACUUUCCAUGCAAUAAGCAUAUGUUUUCGGCCGACUCAUCAAGACUGUGGGAGCCUAUAUUUUCCAUAUAGUUCACCUGCAGAUAAUAUUAAGAAAAAAAUUAAGAAAUAAUUUACAAAAUUAUUUUUCUCUUUAGAACAACUCCACCAAAGGGAAAAAUAUGGCUCUUUCCGAAAUGACGUCGAAAGACUAUUAUUUUGACUCCUAUGCCCAUUUCGGAAUCCAUGAGGAAAUGUUGAAAGAUGAAAUAAGAACGAUCACAUACAGAACAGCUAUGCUUCAAAAUAAGCAUUUAUUUAAAGACAAAGUUGUUCUAGAUGUUGGCUGUGGAACUGGUAUACUAAGUAUUUUUGCUGCCCAAGCUGGGGCAAAAAAAGUAAUUGGCAUCGAAUAUUCAAAUGUUAUUGAAUCUGCCCAAAAGAUCGUCGAUGCGAAUAAAUUUCAAGAUAAAAUUAUCCUUAUCAAAGGAAAAGUUGAAGAAGUUGAAUUACCAGAAGAAUUCAAGCAAGUUGACAUAAUCGUUAGUGAAUGGAUGGGUUACUCAUUAUUCUACGAGUCAAUGCUGAACACUGUUAUAUUUGCUAGAGAUAAAUGGCUAAAACCCGGCGGUCUUAUUUUCCCUGAUAAAGCUUGUCUCUACCUCACUUCUAUUGAAGAUCAACAAUAUAAAGAUGAGAAAAUAAAUUGGUGGUCCAAUGUAUAUGGAGUGGAUAUGUCGUGCAUCAGAAAAUUAGCCAUGGCAGAACCUCUAGUGGACGUUGUUGAAGCUAGACAAAUAGUAACAAGUCCUAUGCUUAUCAAAGAAAUCGAUAUCCAUACAGUUAAGGAGGAGGACUUGGAAUUUACUUCCAACUUUGUGCUGAAAGCAAGAAGGAAUGAUUAUAUACACGCUCUCGUUACCUACUUCACUAUUGAAUUCACCCACUGUCACAAGAGAGUACGAUUCAGUACCUCCCCUGAAGCCAGAUAUACUCACUGGAAGCAGACCGUCUUGUAUUUGGAUGACUACAUUACAAUUAAGGAGGCUGAAGAAGUCUAUGGCACCUUCCAUGUUAAGCCGAACAAAAAUAAUCACCGUGACUUAGACUUCACUGUUAGUGUCGACUUUCAAGGCGAGUUGUCAACGAUGCAAACUAAACAAGACUAUAAGAUGCGUUGAUAAAUUACUUUAAGAAUGUUGGCAGAGCAAAGUAUUUAAGUAAGCGUUUUACAGAGAAUAAAUUUGUAUCGUUUGUGUUCGCUUGUGGAUUAUAUGAUGGAACACUUCAUUUAUGAAACAAUUAUUUUCAACAUUCUGUAAGUCUGUACUGUUUCUUUUGAAACUGAGUCUCCGCUUAAUUUGUUAAUACAAAUUACAAACAUUCAAAACAAUUUCUGUGACUACUGUGAAAAUUAAUGAUUUUUGAUUGAAUCUUUAAUAUAUUUCAGUUACAUGUACUUGGAU
rnacentral:misc_RNA from 1 species